UGGGGAAUAUUGCGCAAUGGGCGAAAGCCUGACGCAGCGACGCCGCGUGAGGGAAGAAGGCCUUCGGGUCGUAAACCUCUGUCUAGAGGGAAGAAACCAUUGAGGUCGAACAGGCCUCUUUGCUGACGGUACCUCUGAAGGAAGCACCGGCUAACUCCGUGCCAGCAGCCGCGGUAAUACGGAGGGUGCGAGCGUUAAUCGGAAUCACUGGGCGUAAAGCGCUCGUAGGCGGUUUGGUCAGUCAGAUGUGAAAGCCCUCGGCUUAACCGGGGAACUGCAUUUGAUACUGCGAUGCUUGAGGGCCGGAGAGGGUGGCGGAAUUCCAGGUGUAGGAGUGAAAUCCGUAGAUAUCUGGAGGAACACCAGUGGCGAAGGCGGCCACCUGGCCGGCAACUGACGCUGAGGUGCGAAAGCGUGGGGAUCAAACA
rnacentral:rRNA from 1 species